GGGGAAUGACUAGAGCAGGAGGGGAGGAGGGAGGACAGUUUCCUUUCUGUAACACACGCCACAGGAACACACCGCGGGGAGAGAGAGAAAAAAAACGGAGAGAGAGGGAAGAAAAUCAUCAAGAGUGGGAGAAGGAAACACCGCAGCCCCUCCGCGCGUCCCUCUGUCUGUCCGUGCGUCCGCGCGUCCUUUGGUUGGUUGCUUUUAUUUUUUAGAGAGAAAGAAAGCGCUUUUCUCUUUUUGUCCUCCUCUGAACGCAGACUUGCGGACUAACAUGAGGAGGGUUGACUUUCUGUGAGCCUCUCCGUGUCUGAUAGGGAGGGAAAAGGCGACAGGGAGGACAUGUUGAGGUUGCGGUAGGAGGUUGAUUUAGCGCUCCUGAAACAUUCGGACCUUAGAGAGAGGGGAAAAACGCGCAAACGGAAAGUGAGCGGCAGGCUGAGCUAAGGAGCCAUCGCUAAUAUCGGUGUUUGUUUCAUUGUUUUUGUUAUUAUCUGAAAUAGCGCAGGCCUCUCAGGCAGCCCUGCAGUAAAUAAAUACAGGAGCCACUUAGCUUCUAAUAAGCCUGCGUGAGUUUUUUUUAUUUACGGUAAAAGGAAAGUGGUGUUUAUGGGCUGUUUGUUUACUAGACGAAUAUUCUUCUCACAAACUUGGCAUUUUGCGACCUUUUAAUCCGACUGGCUCUAGAGGUGUAAGGGGGUUGUUACUGUAGGCGAUCUUAGCCCCAGUUUAGCUGAGCAAUAAGAGAUAAGAAGAGUUAUAAAUGUUAAUGUCGACCGACGUUGCAUCCAUCAUGCUGCCUGUGUCCCGGGCCCUCCUAGACCGGGAUAGGGAGCUGGAAUCCAUGGCCGGAGUGCACCCGAACCCGUGCAGCGCUCCUGCAGCUGUACGGGGCAUGAAGCGCGGAGACCCGGAGCCCGACGGACAGACGGCGGCCGCUCUUAUGGACUCCACCGGGGCAGAGUGCAAGCGUCCCCGCAUCGACGGCUCUGGAGGAAUCGGUGAGGUCGGACAGAACAACGACCCCUUGACCCUCGGUUACCAUGGAUACGCAUCUCACAGCCAGGGUUCUCAGGAUAGUGCUGGUGGUCAGGAGGGACUCGUGCCCCCACCUUUCUCCGCUUUCCCACCUCCUCCUCCUCCACCCCCCCAGAACGGCCUGACCCUGGACUACGGGGGCAGCCUGUAUGCAGCAGGGGCCGUGCAGGGCCCCGUGGAAGCCGGCGGCUCGGGGAAUGGUGCAGGCAACACCGCCAACAGCCUCGGUGCCCAGUCGGACGGGUCCUCCCAGAUCGACGGUCAGUGUGGAGUGGGCUCAGGUGGAGGGGGUGGGGGUGGGGGCCCUGGGGACGAUCCAGACUCCAAGGGGACGCCGAAACGUCUCCAUGUGUCCAACAUCCCCUUCCGCUUCCGAGACCCUGAUCUACGGCAGAUGUUCGGGCAAUUUGGCAAAAUCCUUGACGUGGAGAUCAUUUUCAACGAGAGGGGCUCCAAGGGCUUUGGUUUUGUAACAUUUGAGGCGAGUUCAGAUGCAGAGAGAGCCAGAGAGAAGCUUCAUGGCACGCUGGUGGAGGGUCGUAAAAUCGAGGUCAAUAACGCCACAGCCAGAGUGAUGACAAACAAGAAGAUAACCACACCGUUCUCCAAUGGCGAGGGCAUCGCAGCACUACCAUAUGCUGGUUGGAAGUUGAGCCCGAUGGUUGGAGCCAUGUAUAGCCCAGAACUCUACACCGUUCCAGGGUUCCCUUACCCAGCAGCAGCAGCUGCGGCCGCCGCCACCACCGCCGCAGCAGCCACCUUUCGGGGCACUCACCUUCGGGGUCGAGCUCGGCCCGUCUACAGCGCGGUUAGAGCAGCUGUCCCGCAACCGGCCAUCCCCGCGUACCCCGGUGUGAUGGCCUAUCAGGAUGGUUUUUACAGUGCAGCCGACCUCUACACUAGUGUUUCAGGACAUUAGUGGCAGAUUGCCCCAGGGUGGCUAUGCAGCGUAUCGUUACGCCCAGCCGGCUGCUGUAGCGACUCCUGCAGCAGCAGCCGCCGCUGCAGCGGCAGCUUACAGCGACAGCUAUGGACGAGUUUACACAGCGGACCCUUACCAUGCUGCACUUGCCCCAGCUGCUUACGGCGUUGGAGCCAUGGCCACGCUGUACAGGGGAGGCUACAGUAGAUUUGCCCCUUACUAAAGACACUAUAUUUCCCAGGAGCUCCUCCUUCCCACUGACAUACUCUGAAAGAGCUCCCCCUGUUGUCCUGGAGGUGGACUGCACCCCGUUUGAAAAGCGUGGCGUCGACCACAACAAAGAUAUUAUAGAUCCCCCAGAACAGUCCCACAUUUUCUUAUAUACACGUCUACGGAAAUAGAGGAAUGCUGUAUUAAAGACUGAAGGAUGGCCUUUACUUUCAAAGACAAAAAAAAAAAAAAAGAAGGAAAAAAAAGUAUCUGAAUGAACACGGCCACCUUCCCCAUUGCACGGCUGUAUUAUAGUCUCCCCCUCUUAUUCCCUCAACUCAGCAGCACAAUAUUUGGGGGCGGAGCCCAGAUGUUCUUCCAAAGGCUGGAUAUUUGAACAGCUGUCACUCAUGCAGGAGGAAAAGCACAGUCUGGCCUGCACACACUCUGGAUUAGAACAGGAGGGAGGCAAAGGAACGAGGCGUCAACCGAACAUCAGAGUGGUAGAGAGGUGAGGUGCCUUGAGAGAGGUAGAGAACGAGAAAGGCCCUGAAAACCUUUUGAAACCAGAAGGAUGUUGAAGUAGCACCGCGGGGGGGGUUCAGGAAUCGUCCUGAACACGCUGCUUUGAGGUAGACUGGCAGCUUGGAGAGAUGAUGGGGAGCUGAAGGAGGGAGGGUUUAGUUAGAGCUGUUCCUUACCUCAAGUUUUCUUAGUAUGUGGAAACGGUAAACCUUUAAAAAUGUUAUGAUAUGCAAAGAAAUUAGUCUAGAGGAAAAAAAACGAUUUACCAAAUUAUUGUUAUUAUUAUUAUUAUUAUUAUUGCUGUUGUGAUUAUUCUCAUAAAUACUCAGUAAAUCAUUACUUUGUUUUACACAGCGACAGAGCAGUUGGUGAAUUUUAGGGGGUUGAAAUCAGAAAACACUCCACCUUCACCUACAGCAUGUAUAAAACACACACACACGGUUUCACGAGACAUCAGACACUACAGGAGGUGAAACACUACGCUGCAGACAUUUCUAUUUUUGUUUACAUGUGAAAGAGCCCCCCUGCCUGCAGCGCCUAGGCCUCUGAUGGUCCUUUAACGUAGAGACAGAUAUUAUUUAGAUUUGUUUUCCCUUCAUGCUUCACCUUUUUAUAGAGUCCAGUAAUGGAUGAGUCUUCCUGAAACACACCUUAGUUGGCAGUUGCGCUAAAGAUGCUGCCAACGGCGAUUACUGAGCAAGACAGAGAUCCAGCCAGCCGGUUCUUAGUGAUAUUUAAAUGCAAAACACAUGACUAUUGUGCAUAUUUCUAUACUAUUGUAUUCUAUAUUUCCAAAACGUGGCUUUUUUUUGGCGUUUGUUUUUGUUCCAAAGAUUUGUAGAAAGCACAUUUUCUGCCAUAUAUAUCUAUAAAUAUAAAUAUAUUGUGUGUGUUAUUAUCAUAUAGCUGUCUUUAUUUACGUUUUUCCAUUGUCUGAUUUUUUUAAUGUAUCUAUAUAUCUAUAAAUAAAUAAAUAUAUAUAUGUAUGUAUGUGUGUUGUUACUUCUCAAGUAAGGUUCAAAUUUUAAUUUUGAUUUAGUUUUUGAUUGAAAUUUCUGAGCUGAUUUUAGCAUUUUAGAGGAAAUGACACCAAAAUGAUUUUGUUUCCCAGAAAUGUUUAGUUGGUUUGGGUUGUUAUUUUUCUUUUGUUUUGAUUAUAUAAUUCUGUUUUUUGCUGUUGUUUUGUUGCUGUUUUUGAUUGAGCAUAGGAUCUGCCGGCAUGACAUUUUAUUCUAUUUCACAAAAUAUGAAAACAGCUGGAUUUCUUUUAUUUUAUUAUUAUAUUUGGGUGUGUGUGAGUGUGUGUGUCCACGGUUUGCAGGUGAGAUGAUGAUGAUUGAUAAAAGGUUUGUGGCGCUGAUUAAAAAGCCACGGUGUUCCGUUCUUUUCUUAUUUUGAGUUCUUAUUGUUGUUCUUAAAGCAGAUUCCAUACAUUUCAGUAAAUAAGCCUCACAAAUAACCAAUUUGUUUAAAAAAAAACUCCAGGUAAAAUGUCCACAAGUGUUAUGCAGGUUUGUAAUCCUGUCCUGAUGAAAAAUGUGACUGUUUCAAAAAUAUUUCGAUUUUCUGUUUGUUUGUUUGCGUACUUGGAAAAUACAUGUUUGGUUAUAAUCAUGACAUGUAACAUUUCUAUUGUUUUAUUUAGUUUUAUGAUAUUAAUGGAGAAUGUGCUCUCGACUAAAUUGAUAAAUAAAAAAGGCACAAGCCAAAGAUGUUACGUUCUUGGCAUGUUCUGAUUCCCGACCUGUGAUGAAGAGCAAGAUGAAGAGAUGACAGUGAAAAAGUAAAACAGACCUUUGCAGCCGCUGACGGCAUGGACUAACCAGCAUGAAAGAUAAUUAUCGAGUUUAAAAGAAAAAAAAAGUUUUGCAUGAAUCUAUCGUCUUUUCACCUUUGACCCGUGAGCAGCAGAGCCCGGCUGCUCUCCUUCGCCUCUAAAACUCGACGGGCAGCUUCGACAUGACAAAGACCACAGAGCUGCUGGGAAAAAAUAAAUAAAAAAUCGUGUGACAAACCAAGAUGGUGGCUGCAAAAAUAACAUUUGGCAGCUUUGUUUUCCUGUUAUGGCUUUCUUGCCCAGGCUGUAUUAUAGAGAACUAUGUGGUCACUUUUCAUAGUUGCUAUGGUUUCUCAAUGGUCAGUCCCUCUGUCCUGUCUGUUUCCCUCUGACUGCCAUUUUGUUGUUUUUGUUAUUGAAUGUCCAUUAUAAAAAAAAUGCUUUAUAUAAAAACUUUUGUUGUGAA